UACGAAGGGGGCUAGCGUUGCUCGGAAUUACUGGGCGUAAAGGGCGCGUAGGCGGACAGUUUAGUCAGAGGUGAAAGCCCAGGGCUCAGCCUUGGAAUUGCCUUUGAUACUGGCUGUCUUGAGUACGGGAGAGGUGUGUGGAACUCCGAGUGUAGAGGUGAAAUUCGUAGAUAUUCGGAAGAACACCAGUGGCGAAGGCGACACACUGGCCCGUUACUGACGCUGAGGCGCGAAAGCGUGGGGAGCAAACAGG
rnacentral:rRNA from 1 species